rnacentral:rRNA from 1 species
CCUACGGGAGGCAGCAGUAAGGAAUAUUGGACAAUGCCCACAAGGGUGAUCCAGCCAUGCCGCGUGCAGGAAGACGGCCUAUGGGUUGUAAACUGCUUUUACACCGGAGAUAGUAUGGUGAGAAUAAGCAUCGGCUAACUUCGUGCCAGCAGCCGCGGUAAGACGAAGGAUGCAAGCGUUAUCCGGAUUCAUUGGGUUUAAAGGGAGCGUAGGCGGCCUUAUAAGUCAGUGGUGAAAUCUUUGGGCUUAACCCAAAAAUUGCCAUUGAUACUGUAGGGCUUGAGUACAGUUGCUGUGGGCGGAAUAUGACAUGUAGUGGUGAAAUACAUAGAGAUGUCAUAGAACACCGAUUGCGAAGGCAGCUCACAAAACUGUACUGACGCUGAGGCUCGAAAGUGCGGGGAUCAAACAGGAUUAGAUACCCUAGUAGUC